rnacentral:tRNA from 1 species
UAUAGAGUAAGUUAACAAAACUAUUGGCCUCAUGAGCCAAAAAUGAUCCGUCCUCCGUAA